ensembl:snRNA U6 U6 spliceosomal RNA
CUGCUGGAUUCUGCAGCACAUAUGCUAAAAUUGGAACAGAGAAGAUUAGUAUGGCCCCUGUAAAAGGACGACAUGCAAAUUUGUGAAUUGUUCUAGUUCCAU